CGCACCUUGCGCUUGCUGGUAUUCCGGCAAGCAUGCCUGUUUGAGUGUCUUGAAAUCAUCAAACCGAACCGGUCUUUGUUGCCGGCGCGGUUUGGACUUGGGGGUUUCAUUGCUGGCCGCUCGCGGUUGGCUCCCCUUAAAUUGAUCGGUCGGGCUUUCGUGCGGCUCUGUCCCUUGGCGUUGUAUUACCCUCGUCUUGGACGGCUCGCGAUUCAAUGGCCCUUCUUCGACCUGCCUCUGGAGUGGCGGUCUUCAACUUUUGUGAUCUGACCUCAAAUCAGGUAGGACUACCCGCUGAACUUAA
rnacentral:misc_RNA from 1 species